GGCACAACUUGCACAACCGCAUUGAGGGAAACACUGAAAGGGCAUGUUGGUUUAUCCCGACGGCGUUAGGACCUUCCAGAAGCGUCGAGCUGUAUCUGUGGAUUGGGAUGCAUCCUGCUCGCUGUUUCGCUACAAUGUCAGGAGCACGCAUGAUUUUUCUCAUCGCUUCCUGUAUAAUGUUUUUCCAUUCUGGAAAUGCUCAACUGGGAGAGUCUAGAUUUCAUGAUAGACCUUAUGAAGUCCUGCUGAGGCAAAAUCUGGUUCUUCUAAUAAGUGUUCUGUGCACACUGCUGGUGGUCAUGAUUGGAAUGGCAGUGUGUGUCUACAAACCCCUUCGACGCAGGUGACAAGCCCCUCAAGAUGAAAGACGCCGGGAACUGAAUACUACUAUGGAGAAGGCUUGGUUUUGAAUAUUAAUGAGCCGAGCCUAGCCAUUGGAUGAGAACAACGCAACGUCAGGAUCCAACCCUUCGCUAUUGGAAGGUUGCGAAGCAACGUCAGCAUGAGCUAAUUAAUAUUGAUGAACCCAUUGGCGUCUUCCCUGCGACGCUUUAAUUAAAUCGAGUCCUAAACUCCGAUUAAACGUCAUUGUCAUCAAGUUCAGAUCUCUCUAAAAAUUACAUUUACGUGUUUAAAACUGAACACUAUCUUAAACAAAUGCAUACUAAAUUUUGACGUUCUUUUUAGUUUACAAGCUGCUAAAAUGUUUACAGUCUGAAUUUAAACGUAUUUAUUUAGAAAAAUAUUAUUUUCAUGUAUUUAUUGCAAGAUGUUUAUUUUACUGUUUUUUUUUAUGUCAGACCUCUUGAAUAAAUUAAAGUCAAUGCAUGAAUUAGUAUGAAUGUGCUUGUGUUCAAAAUAAAUAACUAAAUGCAA